AAAAAUGUGUUCAAAGACCUGGGGAAAUAAAAAAAGUCUUUGCCUGGUGCACAACCACUGUUGUCUUCCUGGCACUAGGUGAGUCUCCUUGGGAAGAAAUAUCUACAAAAGGGCAUCACCACCACUAAAAAGGCUGGAGGAGGGCCUCCAAUUAUGACCUCAGUGAACAGUAUGUUUCCCUGAGUACAGUCAUCCCUGAGUACAGUCGUCCCCACGAGGGUUCCAUUCCGAAUUUGCAGUUGGAGAUCUAUUGAAAGCAAUGGCAAACGGAGGUUUAGGGGAAUCGUGGUCAAGAAAAUACCGCAAAGCAAGGGAAUCAUUAAGUCAACUAGCAGUUUAUCUCAGUAUAUCACACAGAUGUUAAUUAAAGAAGCAUCUCAAGACCUCCGCGCCAUCUCUGUCUAGCAAUUGUUGGCUCAGAUCUUUGGAGGUAGGAUGAUCCACCUUCGAUUUCACACACCAGUGCUAGGAACCGACUUUGGCUCUUGGCUCUUCAGCAUUUUUCCUGGGCAAUCAGAUGUGCUCCUAUUUUAGGAAUAGGAAUAGAAGCAAAGCACCUUUUGGCUCCCAUACAUCACUACUAUAACCACUAGAACACACACCCCUAGUGAUGGGCAAGCUCUCCCAGAUUAAUUUCAAAUCUUGCCUCAUGAACCUUUUGGAGUUCUUUGAGAGUGUCAACAGGUGUGUAGAUCAAGGUGAUCCAGUUGACAUAGUAUACCUGGACUUCCAAAAUCAUUAAAGACUCAUCAAAGACUCUUGAGGAAAUUUAGCGGUCAUGGGAUAAGGAGAUAAGUACAUGUGUGGAUUGCUAACUGGUUGAAAGACAGGAAACAGAGGGUAGGGAUAAAUGGAAAGUUUUCACAAUGGAGGGGAGUAAGAAGUGGGGUCCCCCAGGGAUCUGUACUGGGACCAGUGCUUUUUAAUUUAUUCAUAAAUGAUCUAGAAGUAGGGCUAAGCAGCGAAGUGGCCAAAUUUGCAGAUGAUACCAAACUCGGGUAGUGAAAUCCAAAACAGAUUGUGAGGAGCUCCAAAAGAAUCUCUCCAAACUGGGUGAGUAGGUGACAAAGUGGCAAAUGCGCUUCAGUGUUGGCAAGUGUAAAGUGAUGCACAUUGGGAUGAAAAGCCCCAAUUUCAAGUAUAUGCUGAUGGGAUCUGAGCUGUCAGUGACUGGUAGGGAUCUUGGGGUCAUGGUGGACAGUUCGUUGAAAGUGUCGACUCAAUGUGCAUCUGCUGUGAAAAAGGCCAAUUCCAUGCUACAGAUCAUUAGGAAGGGGGUUGAAAAUAAAACUGCUAUUAUUAGAAUGCCCAUAUACAAAUCUAUGGUGUGGCCACACCUGGAGUACUGCGUAUAAUUCUGGGCACCACAUCUUAAAAAGGACAUUGUUGAACUGGAGAAGGUACAGAAGAGGGCAACCAAGAUGAUCAGGGGCCUAGAGCACCUUCCUUAUGAGGCAAGACUACAACACCUGGGGUUUUUUAGUUUAGAAAAAAGAUGGCUGCGGGGAGACAUGAUAGACAUCUAUAAAAUCAUGCAUGAUGUGGAGAAAGUGGAUAGAGAUAAAUUCUUCACCCUCUCACAUAACACUAGAAACAGGGGUUAUCCCAUGAAAUUGAUUGCCAAGAAAUUUAGGACCAACAAAUGGAAGUACUUUUUCACACAAUGCAUAAUCAACUUGUGGAAUUCUCUGCCACAAGAUGUGGUGACACCCAACAACCUGGAUGGCUUUAAACUUCAUGGAGAAGAGGUCUAUCAACGGCUACUAGUUGGAGGGCUAAAGUCCACCUCCAGCCUCAGUGGCAGGAUGCCUCUGAAUACCAGUUGCAAGGUAGCAAGUGCAGGAGAGAGGGCAUGCCCUCAACACCUGCCUGUAGGCUCGCAGUGGCAUCUGGUGGGCCACUGUGUGAAACAGGAUGCUGAACAAGGUGGGCCAUGGGCCUGAUCCAG